rnacentral:rRNA from 1 species
AACGAACGCUGGCGGCAUGCCUAACACAUGCAAGUCGAACGAGACCUUCGGGUCUAGUUGCGCACGGGUGCGUAACGCGUGGGAACCUGCCCUUAGGUUCGGAAUAACUCCCCGAAAGGGGUGCUAAUACCGGUUAAUGUCUUCGGACCAAAGAUCUAUGGCCUCUGGAUGGGCCCGCGUUGGAUUAGCCAGUUGGUAGGGUACAAGCCUACCAAGGCGACGAUCCAUAGCUGGUGUGAGAGGAUGAUCAGCCACACUGGGACUGGGACACGGCCCAGACUCCUGCGAGAGGCAGCAGUGGGGAAUAUUGGACAAUGGGCGAAAGCCUGAUCCGGCGAGGCCGGGGGAGUGAUGAAGGCCUUAGGGUUGUAAAGCUCUUUUACCCGGGAUGAUAAUGACAGUACCGGGAGAAUAAGCUCCGGCUAACUCCGU